UACGUAGGGUGCUAGCGUUGUUCGGAAUCAUUGGGCGUAAAGCGAGUGCAGGCUGUUAAUUAAGUCGGGUGUGAAAUCCCUGGGCUCAACCGAGGAAGUGCAUCCGAAACUAAUUAGCUAGAGAAUGGUAGAGGAAGGUGGAAUUCCAAGUGUAGAGGUGAAAUUCGUAGAUAUUUGGAGGAAUACCGGAGGCGAAGGCGGCCUUCUGGACCAUUUCUGACGCUGAGACUCGAAAGCGUGGGGAGCAAACAGG
rnacentral:rRNA from 1 species